UUGUCCUGUGACUGCGUACCUUUUGUAUAAUGGGUCAGCGACUUAUAUUCAGUGGCAAGGUUAACCAUCUAGGGGAGCCGUAGGGAAACCGAGUCUUAACUGGGCGUUCAGUCUCUGGAUAUAGACCCGAAACCAGGUGAUCUAGCCAUGGGCAGGUUGAAGGUUGAGUAACAUCAACUGGAGGACCGAACCGACUAAUGUUGAAAAAUUAGCGGAUGACUUGUGGCUAGGGGUGAAAGGCCAAUCAAACCUGGAGAUAGCUGGUUCUCCCCGAAAGCUAUUUAGGUAGCGCCUCGGACGAAUACUACUGGGGGUAGAGCACUGUUAAGGCUAGGGGGUCAUCCCGACUUACCAACCCUUUGCAAACUCCGAAUACCAGUAAGUACUAUCCGGGAGACACACGGCGGGUGCUAACGUCCGUCGUGGAGAGGGAAACAACCCAGACCGCCAGCUAAGGUCCCAAAUUACUACUAAGUGGGAAACGAUGUGGGAAGGCUCAGACAGCCAGGAUGUUGGCUUAGAAGCAGCCAUCAUUUAAAGAAAGCGUAAUAGCUCACUGGUCGAGUCGGCCUGCGCGGAAGAUGUAACGGGGCUAAGUAGUAAACCGAAGCUGCGGCAAUAUACUUUUGUAUAUUGGGUAGGGGAGCGUUCUGUAAGCGGUUGAAGGUGUGUGGUAACGCAUGCUGGACGUAUCAGAAGUGCGAAUGCUGACAUGAGUAACGAUAAAGGGGGUGAAAAACCUCCUCGCCGGAAGACCAAGGGUUCCUGUCCAACGUUAAUCGGGGCAGGGUAAGUCGACCCCUAAGGCGAGGCCGAAAGGCGUAGUCGAUGGGAAACGGGUUAAUAUUCCCGUACUUCUUACAAUUGCGAUGGGGGGACGGAGAAGGCUAGGUGGGCCUGGCGACGGUUGUCCAGGUUCAAGUGCGUAGGCUUAAGAGUUAGGUAAAUCCGGCUCUUUUUAAGGCUGAGACACGACGUCGAGCACCUACGGGUGUGAAGUCAUUGAUGCCAUGCUUCCAGGAAAAGCCUCUAAGCUUCAGAUUGUAAGGAAUCGUACCCCAAACCGACACAGGUGGUCGGGUAGAGAAUACCAAGGCGCUUGAGAGAACUCGGGUGAAGGAACUAGGCAAAAUGGUACCGUAACUUCGGGAGAAGGUACGCUCUUGAUGGUGAAGUCCCUCGCGGAUGGAGCUGACGAGAGUCGCAGAUACCAGGUGGCUGCAACUGUUUAUUAAAAACACAGCACUGUGCAAAAUCGUAAGAUGACGUAUACGGUGUGACGCCUGCCCGGUGCCGGAAGGUUAAUUGAUGGGGUUAGACUUCGGUCGAAGCUCUUGAUCGAAGCCCCGGUAAACGGCGGCCGUAACUAUAACGGUCCUAAGGUAGCGAAAUUCCUUGUCGGGUAAGUUCCGACCUGCACGAAUGGCGUAAUGAUGGCCACGCUGUCUCCACCCGAGACUCAGUGAAAUUGAAAUCGCUGUGAAGAUGCAGUGUACCCGCGGCUAGACGGAAAGACCCCGUGAACCUUUACUACAGCUUGGCACUGAACAUUGACCCUACAUGUGUAGGAUAGGUGGGAGGCUUUGAAGCACGUACGCCAGUAUGUGUGGAGCCGUCCUUGAAAUACCACCCUUGUAGUGUUGAUGUUCUAACGUCGACCCCUAAUCGGGGUUGCGGACAGUGCCUGGUGGGUAGUUUGACUGGGGCGGUCUCCUCCCAAAGAGUAACGGAGGAGCACGAAGGUGGGCUAAUCACGGUUGGACAUCGUGAGGUUAGUGCAAUGGCAUAAGCCCGCUUGACUGCGAGAAUGACAAUUCGAGCAGGUGCGAAAGCAGGUCAUAGUGAUCCGGUGGUUCUGAAUGGAAGGGCCAUCGCUCAACGGAUAAAAGGUACUCCGGGGAUAACAGGCUGAUACCGCCCAAGAGUUCAUAUCGACGGCGGUGUUUGGCACCUCGAUGUCGGCUCAUCACAUCCUGGGGCUGAAGUCGGUCCCAAGGGUAUGGCUGUUCGCCAUUUAAAGUGGUACGCGAGCUGGGUUUAGAACGUCGUGAGACAGUUCGGUCCCUAUCUGCCGUGGGCGUUGGAAGAUUGAAGGGGGCUGCUCCUAGUACGAGAGGACCGGAGUGGACGAACCUCUGGUGUUCGGGUUGUGUCGCCAGACGCAUUGCCCGGUAGCUAAGUUCGGAAUCGAUAACCGCUGAAAGCAUCUAAGCGGGAAGCGAGCCCUGAGAUGAGUCUUCCCUGAUACUUUAAGUAUCCUAAAGGGUUGUCGGAGACUACGACGUUGAUAGGUCAGGUGUGUAAGUGCUGUGAGGCAUUGAGCUAACUGAUACUAAUUGCCCGUGAGGCUUAACCAU
rnacentral:rRNA from 1 species